AUCUAUCCUGUACCUGGCUAAAUACAUUGGUUCAUCUAGACCUUUCUGUUUAUACAGUCCUUACAAGGAACCUCUACUGGAAGCGUAUAUGCAGAUUAAAGAGGCCGGACUAGCUGUGAUGGUCAACUUAUCAGAAACCUGGCUUAGGAAUCAUCAAGUCCUACCCCA